AUAUCAAUAAGCGGAGGAAAAGAAACUAACAAGGAUUCCCCCAGUAACGGCGAGUGAAGCGGGAAAAGCUCAGACUGAAAAUCCUCGGAGUUGUAGUCUGGAGAGGUCAUGAUUGCAAGGCACUCGGGUCAAGUCUCCUGGAACGGAGCGCCAAGGAGGGUGACAGCCCCGUUCACGCCCAUGUGCCGAGCUCCCAUCAGCCUUCUACGAGUCGAGUUGUUUGGGAUUGCAGCUCUAAGUGGGUGGUAAAUUCCAUCUAAAGCUAAAUACCUGUGGGAGACCGAUAGCGCACAAGUA
rnacentral:rRNA from 1 species